CCUAAUAAUAAUAACAAUAAUAUAAAUAUCAAACUUAAUUUACAUGAUUAUCAGAGUCUAGCUCCCAAGUACGUAACCUUUAUUACAUUCAUUACAUAUCAUGAUAGAUAAUAUAUAUCACUGUCUUAAUAGUCUCAAACUAUUACAUAGAAUACCACAAAUCUUAUUUGGUUAGCUUUCCUUUUCCUUUGUUUCUGCAUGAACUUUCUGGUUCUUCACACUUA
rnacentral:lncRNA from 1 species